UUUCUCUUCAGUUCGUAUAAAUCUUUUGCCUUUUACUAAGAUUUCCGUGGAAAGGAA
rnacentral:snRNA from 1 species